CAGGAUUCAUUUUGAGGAGAAUUACAAAAAAGAAGCAGUGUGCAUUAUACAAAUUGAUGCUAUACAGCCUAAAUGGAUAUUGAUCGCACACAGCGAUCAAAGAACGAAUAAAUCUGAGCAAAGAAAGCAUGCUUUGCUGAGCGAACGGAUGACAGAGAGCAUCAGAAUGGGAGGUUGGGUACAGAAUCAUAACCAGAAACGGCAGCGUUUGAGCUCUGACUUCAGUGGCCCUCGGGGAAGUCGACUGUAAUUGGACGAACUCAUCACCUAAUGUGCCGGCAGCGAGGAGCUCCGCCCUUCAUCAUCACAAUGACCUUCAUCUGCCUCCUCGUCUUCACAACAAGACACAGAUCUCAGAAACAGUCAAAGCACCAAACCUAAAGCACAAAAGGGAAAGGAAGCCAACAGAAGAAUCGACUUGCAUGACUUGCAAAGACAGACAGCAAAAUCCAAAAGUGUGGACGGCAGUCGACUCCUACACGCAGAGUGAAGCUGAUGCUGUCGGUGAUAAUCGAGGUGGCUGGAAUCCCGUCCAACAUUCAGGUGUCCUCACGCAUCCCCUGCAAACCGGGAGCAGGUUAUGGGAAUAUGUGUUCUGGGAAAUGAGGAACGGCGCUGCGUUGGUGGUCUCGAGGGGCGAUGGCCGGCUGGCCUCGGGCUGAAUACUCACACUGCUGUGACGGUGACCCUCCUCACCUCACGUUCAGCUCAUUUAAAUGCAAACAGUCGCAGAGCUACAUUUUAUAUCACAGGUGCAUGUAUGCAGCAAAAU
ensembl:lncRNA